rnacentral:rRNA from 1 species
UACGUAGGGUCCAAGCGUUGUCCGGAAUUACUGGGUAUAAAGGGUGCGCAGGCGGGCUCGUGCGUCGAAGGUUAAAGGCCAUGGCUCAACCAUGGAAAUGCCCUCGAUACGGCGAGUCUUGAGUAUGAGAGAGGAAGAUGGAAUUCCUGGUGUAGCAGUGAAAUGCGUAGAUAUCAGGAGGAACACCGGUGGCGAAGGCG